rnacentral:rRNA from 1 species
CUUUAGUUGCCAUCAUUGAGUUGGGCACUCUAAAGAGACUGCCGGUGUCAAACCGGAGGAAGUGGGGAUGACGUCAAGUCCUCAUGGCCUUUAUGACCAGGGCUACACACGUACUACAAUGGCCGGUACAAAGGGCAGCGACACAGCGAUGUGAAGCGAAUCCCGAAAAGCCGGUCUCAGUCCGGAUUGGAGUCUGCAACUCGACUCCAUGAAGUUGGAAUCGCUAGUAAUCGCGGAUCAGCAUGACGCCGGUGAAUACGUUCCCGGGCCUU